AGGCCCGUGGUGUAAUGGUAGCACUAUGGUUUCUGGUUCCAUCUGUUGGGGUUCGAGUCCCUGCGGGCCUGCCA
rnacentral:tRNA from 1 species